AUCAGCUGGAUGGGGGACACGUCCAAUCAAUUUUAUAACACAAUAAUGCCCUUUCUGGGUUGAUCUACUGUAUUGAACCUGAGAGGGCAACUGCAGAAUCUGAAACCAGAGGGUGCAGGUUUGCUGGGGGUGGUCAGGCAGUGCCAGGAAUUCACUGAAAACAGAUUUUGCUUCAUCUGGUGAAUUUUGUGGAAAAGUCGGGAACAGGGAGAGCAACUUCCAGCCAGGACUGCCAGUUCCUGCCUCUGGGUGGCUGGGAAGAAGCUGCUGAACUUCAACCCAAGAUUCUCUUCAAAUUGCUCCAUGUCUUUCCCAAAAUGUGGUGCCCAACAUGGAAUAAAUCAACCCAGCCAAGACCAGAGGAGUGUGGAAGGAUUAUUUCCCAUGUCUUACUAUUUCCCCAAUGUCUGCCAGUGCUCAAAUCCAGGAUUGAAGAAGAUGUUUUCUACUGCUGUUGUAGAUGGAUGCUGCUGGUGAAUCAGCACGUGAAAUAAUGAUCUUUGGAAUAACCAAAUCCCUCCAGGUUUCAGUUUUACCUGAAGGGAUGAUGUGCCAGCAAAAGAGAAAUGCAAGAUACAUUAAAAUAAUAAAGCAAUGUUACUACAUGGAGUAAA